UCCUACGGGGGGCAGCAGUGGGGAAUAUUGCACAAUGGGGGAAACCCUGAUGCAGCAACGCCGCGUGAGUGAAGAAGUAUUUCGGUAUGUAAAGCUCUAUCAGCAGGGAAGAAGAUGACGGUACCUGAGUAAGAAGCCCCGGCUAACUACGUGCCAGCAGCCGCGGUAAUACGGAGGAUGCGAGCGUUAUCCGGAUUUAUUGGGUUUAAAGGGUGCGUAGGCGGGAUGCCAAGUCAGCAGUCAAAUACGGGGGCUCAACCUGCGUCCGCCGUUGAAACUGGCGUUCUUGAGU
rnacentral:rRNA from 1 species